AAAGUCGUAACAAGGUUUCCGUAGGUGAACCUGCGGAAGGAUCAUUAACACGUAUCCAACGUUAAAACCCCCUGGUAAAUCAUCGCCGAACAGUUCUGAUUCAGGACUUUGCAUGGGACGACGCUUGAGCGCGAGGCAAGUUACUGCUUGUUAGUGUCUGUCAGUGUCGCUAACAAGGUUCAUGACCUGCGAAAAACACGAUCGCUAGAGGCCGCGACCGGGUCAGCGGUCACCCCUUUGCAUGAAAACGGGCCUGCGCUUAAUUGUGCGGCCACCAAAACUCGAACAACUGUUAACAAUGGAUAUCUUGGUUCUC
rnacentral:misc_RNA from 1 species